AUACUUCUGCAGAAAUAUACCGUUGGGAAAAGGCUGCAAAAAUUCUGGCCACCAUGUAAAUCCCACACUGAUGACUCACUUGGGAAGAAGAAAAGACACAAAAUUUUGUGCUGGCCCUCUAAGUGAAGACUUUGUUACGGAUGCAUAUGAAAAAAAUCCACUUGUUAUCUACUUUACUUGGAUGAAUUGUUAUCUGACGUGAACAGGAAAUGUAGGCAGAGUCCUGCAGGAGUCCUCCUUUGCUGAAAGUGCAUAGGAAUAGAGAUUGAUUUAACCUCUACUGCACAGAGGAGGGGAGAAAUCGGUGGAUGUCCUACAAACGUCAUUGACAGGAUCCAAGCGAUGAAGUCAUGAUAGGUAGCUAUCAACAGAAAUCACUGGAGAAGUAAAGUCUGAGGCUAACCUCAUACUUGGUAGAGAAGUGCAGAGUACAGCAUAUGAAGCAACAUGCUGCUAACUGACAGCCUCCACUUCAGCAGACAAGG